AUACGUAGGGGGCGAGCGUUGUCCGGAAUGAUUGGGCGUAAAGGGCGCGUAGGCGGCCCGGUAAGUCUGGAGUGAAAGUCCUGUUUUUAAGAUGGGAAUUGCUUUGGAUACUGUCGGGCUUGAGUGCAGGAGAGGGAAGUGGAAUUCCCAGUGUAGCGGUGAAAUGCGUAGAGAUUGGGAGGAACACCAGUGGCGAAGGCGACUUACUGGACUGUAACUGACGCUGAGGCGCGAAAGUGUGGGGAGCAAACAGGAUUAGAUACCCUGGUAGUCCACACUGUAGACGAUGAAUGCUAGGUGUAGGGGGUAUCGACCCCUUCUGUGCCGCAGUCAACACAAUAAGCAUUCCGCCUGGGGAGUACGGCCGCAAGGUUGAAACUCAAAUGAAUUGACGGGG
rnacentral:rRNA from 1 species